rnacentral:rRNA from 2 species
GUGGUUUAUUCGAAGCAACGCGAAGAACCUUACCAGGUCUUGACAUCCCACUAACAAGAUAGAGAUAUGUCAGGUGCCCUUCAGGGAAAGUCGAGACAGGUGGUGCAUGGUUGUCGUCAGCUCGUGUCGGGAGAUGUUGGGUUAAGUCCCGCAACGAGCGCCACCCCUGCCAUUAGUUGCUACGCAAGAGCACUCUAAUGGGACCGCUACCGACAAGGUGGAGGAAGGUGGGGACGACGUCAAAUCAUCAUGCCCCUUAUGACCUGGGCUACACACGUAAUACAAUGGCCGUUAACAGAGGGAAGCAAAGCGGUGACGCAGAGCAAAACCCUAAAAACGGUCCCAGUUCGGACUGUAGGCUGCAACCCGCCUACACGAAGUUGGAAUUGCUAGUAAUCGCGGAUCAGCAUGCCGCGGUGAAUACGUUCCCGGGCCUU